rnacentral:rRNA from 1 species
UACGUAGGGUGCGAGCGUUGUCCGGAAUUAUUGGGCGUAAAGAGCUCGUAGGCGGCUUGUCGCGUCGUCCGUGAAAUCCUGGAGCUCAACUCCAGAACUGCCUUUGAUACUGGCGAUCUCGAGUCCGGGAGAGGUGAGUGGAACUGCGAGUGUAGAGGUGAAAUUCGUAGAUAUUCGCAAGAACACCAGUGGCGAAGGCGGCUCACUGGCCCGGUACUGACGCUGAGGUGCGAAAGCGUGGGGAGCAAACAGG